AACGUAGGAGGCGAGCGUUAUCCGGAUUUACUGGGCGUAAAGCGCACGCAGGCGGCUUGGUAAGUUGGACGUGAAAGCUCCUGGCUUAACUGGGAGAGGCCGUUCGAAACUGCCGGGCUUGAGGUUGGGAGAGGGGUGUGGAAUUCCCGGUGUAGUGGUGGAAUGCGUAGAUAUCGGGAGGAACACCAGUGGCGAAGGCGGCACCCUGGCCCACACCUGACGCUGAGGUGCGAAAGCGUGGGGAGCAAACAGG
rnacentral:rRNA from 2 species